rnacentral:rRNA from 1 species
GAUGAACGCUGGCGGCGUGCCUAAUACAUGCAAGUCGAGCGAACGGACGAGAAGCUUGCUUCUCUGAUGUUAGCGGCGGACGGGUGAGUAACACGUGGAUAACCUACCUAUAAGACUGGGAUAACUUCGGGAAACCGGAGCUAAUACCGGAUAAUAUUUUGAACCGCAUGGUUCAAAAGUGAAAGACGGUCUUGCUGUCACUUAUAGAUGGAUCCGCGCUGCAUUAGCUAGUUGGUAAGGUAACGGCUUACCAAGGCAACGAUGCAUAGCCGACCUGAGAGGGUGAUCGGCCACACUGGAACUGAGACACGGGCCAGACUCCUACGGGAGGCAGCAGUAGGGAAUUUUCCGCAAUGGGCGAAAGCCUGACGGAGCAACGCCGCGUGAGUGAUGAAGGUCUUCGGAUCGUAAAACUCUGUUAUUAGGGAAGAACAUAUGUGUAAGUAACUGUGCACAUCUUGACGGUACCUAAUCAGAAAGCCACGGCUAACUACGUG